GUAAUUAGUACAACCUUUCCGGCAUUAUGGCAGGAUGUGUUGAUAUUUCUUGCUGGUCUUGUCGGAAGGUUUGCCAUGGCGAUAUUUGACGCGGGAAAAUUAUCCCAGGAUGCUCUGGCUACAGACAUGAGGGUUGCAGCGCUGGUGAUCGGACUUUCUCAACUGUGGACAGAGGUAGACAAGUCGAAGGAUGUCUCUUCUGGCCACCUCAACCCAAAGGUAGACAAGUCGAAGGAUGUCUUCUUCUGACCACCUCAACCCAAAGGUCGACAAGUCGAAGGAUGUCUUCUGACCACCUCAACCCAAAGGUAGACAAGUCGAAGGAUGUCUUGACCACCUCAACCUAAAGGUAGACAAGUCGAAGGAUGUCUUGUCAAGGUCACCUCGACCAAAAGGUAGACAAGUCGAAGGAUGUCUUCUUCUGACCACCUCAACCCAAAGGUUGACAAGUCCAAGGAUGUCUUCUCUUGGCCACCUCAAAGGUUGACAAGUCGAAGGAUGUCUUCUCCUGGCCACCUCAACCCAAAGGUAGACAAGUCGAAGGAUGUCUUCUCCUGGCCACCUCAACCCAAAGGUAGACAAGUCGAAGGAUGUCUUCUUCUGGCCACCUCAACCCAAAGGUAGACAAGUCGAAGGAUGUCUUGUCAAGGUCACCUCGACCAAAAGGUAGACAAGUCGAAGGAUGUCUUCUUCUGGCCACCUCAACCCAAAGGUUGACAAGUCGAAGGAUGUCUUCUCCUGGCCACCUCAACCCAAAGGUAGACAAGUCGAAGGAUGUCUUACCAAGGUCACCUCAACCCAAAGGUAGACAAGUCGAAGGAUGCCUUCUUCUGACCAUCUCAACCCAAAGGUAGACAAGUCGAAGGAUGUCUUUUGACCACCUCAACCCAAAGGUAGACAAGUCGAAGGAUGUCUUGUCAAGGUCACCUCAACCAAACGAUGACUGGAGGGAUGUCUUCUGAUCAUGACCUGACCUUGACCUUAAAAUUAAAGAAUUAUUUGGCAGGAAGAGAAAGUGGAUGAGAAUCGCCUUCCUGUGUUGCAGCAUAUGAACAGAAAGAAGAGCCAGCAAAGAUUUGACAAGACUUUCAACCAGAAUCUGAAAAAGCACAAAGUUCUGUCAAUCUGCUAUCUAUCGGAAUGAAUAAGUGUGCUUACUUCUUCCCCAACUUCCAAACUGAGACAAAAGUGGGUUAUUGUACAAAAAGCAAAAGACAUUGGCAGAGAGAAGAAGAAAAUAAAAAGGAAGAUAAUUCACUGCAAGUCAAAUGUUAAAGGUAAAGGAAAGGGCAAAGGCAAGUUGAAAGGUCAAUCAAAGAAGAAUGAAGGUAAGCCUUCUAAGUUAAUUAUUAGGCAUGUUAUUGAGCUAUCCGAGAGUAGCUCAAGUGAGAAUAACUAAAGGUACAGUUCAGCUGGUGUUGCUAUUCCGGUGAGGAGAGACGAUUCAGAAUAAUUUCUGUGUCUGGUAUCAGGAAGAUUUAGCUAAAGCAUCGAUGGAGAUAUCAAUGAGACUUUCGGACAGAAAGUGAAAUCUAAAGUUGACCACAUCAAGGGAGGAUUUGUAGGAUAGACUGAAAUCAGACAAAGGAAUGGAGAGGUAAACGGUCCUCCCAUCAGGUUGAUAAUGGAGUGUUUCCAAGAGAUUUACGGAAAUCAAAAACUAAAGCUCAAUCAAACUUUGUUGGGAUUAACAUCUCUGACAGAUUGAGUCAUAACUGAUAUGAAUAAACUGUGUGACCUGAUCUGUUUGUAUACAAGAAUUUUAGACCAAAUUAUGCUUGGUGUUUGUGUCUGGAUUGUUGUUGGACUGAGAUUUAUGAAAUUCUGUUGUUAUCUUAAUUAAAUAGGCUUUGUACUCGACCUAAAUUAUUCACCUGGAUGUAAUUAUUCAGGAAUGGGAUUUGUAUUGGACAUGUUCAGGUCAGACAAUUUAAAAUGUUUCAAUUCUGAAGUGUUUUGAUUUUGUUCACAAUAUUUUCAUCUCAAUCUGUCACAAAAAAAUUGUUGAAGAUAUUCAUUUUAGUUUGGCA